rnacentral:tRNA from 1 species
GGUAAAAUGGCUGAAGUUUAGGCGGUAAAUUGUAAAUUUUCUAAUGAAGUUUUUCUUUUACCA